rnacentral:rRNA from 1 species
UACAGGGGGUGCAACCGUUGUCCGGAAUUAUUGGGCGUAAAGAGCGUGUAGGCGGCCCGAUUAGUCCGCUGUGAAAGUCCAGGGCUCAACCCUGGAAUGCCGGUGGAUACUGUCGGGCUAGAGUCCGGAAGGGGCGAGUGGAAUUCCUGGUGUAGCGGUGAAAUGCGCAGAUAUCAGGAGGAACACCAAUGGCGAAGGCAGCUCGCUGGGACGUGACUGACGCUGAGACGCGAAAGCGUGGGGAGCAAACAGG